rnacentral:rRNA from 1 species
UACGAAGGGGGCUAGCGUUGUUCGGAAUUACUGGGCGUAAAGCGCACGUAGGCGGAUAUUUAAGUCAGGGGUGAAAUCCCAGAGCUCAACUCUGGAACUGCCUUUGAUACUGGGUAUCUGGAGUAUGGAAGAGGUGAGUGGAAUUCCGAGUGUAGAGGUGAAAUUCGUAGAUAUUCGCAAGAACACCAGUGGCGAAGGCGGCUCACUGGUCCGGUACUGACGCUGAGGUGCGAAAGCGUGGGGAGCAAACAGG